CCUACGGGAGGCAGCAGUGAGGAAUAUUGGUCAAUGGGCGCGAGCCUGAACCAGCCAAGUAGCGUGAAGGAUGACUGCCCUACGGGUUGUAAACUUCUUUUAUACAGGAGUAAAGUGAGGCACGUGUACCUUUUUGGAAGUACUUUAUGAAUAAGGAUCGGCUAACUCCGUGCCAGCAGCCGCGGUAAUACGGAGGGUUCGAGCGUUAUCCGGAUUUGUUGGGUGUAAAGGGAGAGUAGAGGGGUUGUUAAGUCAGGUGUGAAAGUUUGCGGCUCAACCGUAAAAUUGCAUUGGAUACUGGCAGCCUUGAGUACAGUUGAGGUAGGCGGAAUGCGUGGUGUAGCGGUGAAAUGCUUAGAUAUCACGAAGAACACCGAUUGCGAAGGCAGCUUACUAAGCUGCCACUGACAUUGAGGCUCGAAAGUGUGGGGAGCAAACAGGAUUAGAUACCCGAGUAGUC
rnacentral:rRNA from 1 species